CCCGCUGAACUUAAGCAUAUCAAUAAGCGGAGGAAAAGAAACUAACAAGGAUUCCCCUAGUAACUGCGAGUGAAGAGGGAAGAGCUCAAAUUUAAAAUCUGGCUGUUCUUGAAGCAGUCCGAGUUGUAGUUUAGAGAAGUGUUAUCCGCGCUGGCCUGUGCAAAAGUUUCUUGGAAAAGAACAUCAUAGAGGGUGACAAUCCCGUCUUUGGCACAGAUUACCGGGGCUUUUGUGAUGCGCUCUCGACGAGUCGUGUUGUUUGGGAAUGCAGCACUAAAUGGGUGGUAAAUUCCAUCUAAAGCUAAAUAUUGGCGAGAGACCGAUAGCGAACAAGUACCGUGAGGGAAAGAUGAAAAGAACUUUGAAAAGAGAGUUAAACAGUACGUGAAAUUGUUGAAAGGGAAACGCUUGAAGUCAGUCGUGUCUUCCAGGGAUCAAGUCACCUUUGGGUGGCCGUACUUUCUGGUUGAUAGGUCAGCAUCAAUUUUGAUCGUUGGAUAAAGGCCUCGGGAAUGUGGCAUCUUCGGAUGUGUUAUAGACCUUGGUUGGAUACAAUGGUUGGGAUUGAGGAACUCAGUGUGCCUUCAUGGUUGGGGCUUUUGCUCACACCGCACGCUUAGGAUGCUGGCAUAAUGGCUUUAAUCGACCCGUCUUGAAACACGG
rnacentral:rRNA from 1 species